rnacentral:rRNA from 1 species
AACGAACGCUGGCGGCAUGCCUAACACAUGCAAGUCGAACGAGCCCUUCGGGGUUAGUGGCGCACGGGUGCGUAACGCGUGGGAAUCUGCCCUUUGCUUCGGAAUAACAGUUAGAAAUGACUGCUAAUACCGGAUGAUGUCUUCGGACCAAAGAUUUAUCGGCAAGGGAUGAGCCCGCGUAGGAUUAGGUAGUUGGUGGGGUAAAGGCCUACCAAGCCGACGAUCCUUAGCUGGUCUGAGAGGAUGAUCAGCCACACUGGGACUGAGACACGGCCCAGACUCCUACGGGAGGCAGCAGUGGGGAAUAUUGGACAAUGGGCGCAAGCCUGAUCCAGCAAUGCCGCGUGAGUGAUGAAGGCCUUCGGGUCGUAAAGCUCUUUUACCAGGGAUGAUAAUGACAGUACCUGGAGAAUAAGCUCCGGCUAACUCCGUGCCAGCCGCCGCAGUAAGAC